UUCUAAGUCUGUCCCUUAACUUUUGUCAGAGCGUAACUGAAGACAGCUUUUUAAAAGGUUAGGAGAAGCAAACCAUGCGUAUGUUAACAAGUAAACAGACAUUUACUUAGUACGCUAGAAUGUGUUUACAAAAAUCAGUCUUUUAUUGUUCCUUUUCUCAAUCCUAUUCCAGGUGCAUAGCAUCUCUUAAACACGAGCCCUGAAAACAUCCACAAAUCCACCAUUUGCUUGAAAACCUCUUUUUGUAGGAGAGGAAAAUACAUUCAGUAUCACCGAUGAUCCCUGAAUAUUAAUACCAGUGCUACAAUCCACAAGCAUGGUAAUGAAUGCUCUUCUGAAUUGUUUAAUGUGGUGAAAAUCUGUACAGUGCUUUAUCGUUGAGCUUUAGUUGCAUUUUUUUUCUCACCCUGUGUGCCAAACUCUUAUUGCUGAAAUGAUUUGGCUUUCUCAAGCAGAAAACUAUUUUCAUUUGUAUAUAGCAGCACUUUUCUCCAUAACAAACAAGAUGUGACUACUUCCAAUAGAAAUGUAUUAAGUGUAAUGUAUUGAGCUCAUUGAGUAUUUUUAGCACACUCCCAUCAAAGGAAGAUGAAGUGUACAUUUCAUAAAUCUACCCAGUUCUUUAGAAGCCAACUCUUCAUUUUUGUUCUCCCAGUUCUGGCUUGGCUUUUUCAGGCUGCUGUGAUGCACAUUUGGUCAUGACUCUUUUUCCCUGGAGAAAUCAGAACUUCUCCUGUUUUUAAUGAAGUGGAUGAAUUAGAUGAGAAAUAUCCUGGGGCAACUAAAAGUUCUGAUCCAGAUACCACUGGAAUAAAUGGAAACAUUUCUUAAAAGGCAACUAGAUCACGGCUAAUGAGAUAAUUCUCAGAGGUCCUGUACGAAGGAGGAAGCCAGGGGAAAGCAGAGCAUUCUGGUGGUUUUCAAGUCCUUUGUACUCAUCACAUUUUGCAUUGCUGUGAGAACUGAGGAAGUUCCCAGUCCGUUCUACGCAAUUCAGUGGCAGAAGCUUAAAAUGAUUUCAGAUAAUGUAGCUGGUUUUACUGAGAGUCCCACAUCUGGUCCAGCUUCCAGCUUCUGGUGACAGCACAAGCCUACACGUCUUACUGCUCAUGGAGAUCUCCCACGUUCAAGAGCAGGAGAAAGGAGCCAGAACAAUAAUGACAACUCCCUCAGUUUCAUAAAAUCCUCUAUAACAAAUAAUUACUGCAAAAGCUUUGCACUGAAUAUACAUCUUAGCUGCAAUGAUACUGUAUUUUAUCCUAUCUAUAAUGCCAUCACUCUAAUUAUUAGGGCAAAUUUCUCCCUCUCUUCUCAAGUUUGAUGAACAGAAGAACCAAUCCUUUACAGUAACCAUGCUAAAAUGUUGUAACAGAAACAUCUGUGAAGUUACAAGAUGGGGUUUCAGGCCAUCCCAACUCCAGUUCUGCCUAUGUAUACCAUGGAGCAAGGUACUACUUUGUCUCAUUACAGCCUCCCUGAUGAAAUCAUUGAAUUAUUCACACCAAAAAAUGUAUCAGGAGUAGGCAUUUUUAUAGGCAAACUUGCAUUCUCAUUUAUUUCAAAUAUUUUAUUAUGUGAAGCAACAUUUGGCAAAAAUGGAUUAAAAUUCAAGGCAGACAGGUAGGUAGGAACUUCUGAGAACUGACCAGGUAAUUUUAUUCAUGUUCAAUACUACAUAGAAAUUAAAGCAAAAUUUGCCUCAGGAAGUGUUACUUUCUGUUCAUAUAUAGCAUUCAUUGGAGGAAAAACUUUAAAGAAAAUAUAUGGACAAAAGAUGAUGAAUUAUUUCAUUAUUGUAGCUAAAAGUUUGUAAUUCCAAACCAUUUUGGUGCUGAGGAUCUUGGUUGUUUUCUGCCUGACAGAGGAUUAUUUUGGAAAGAGAAGACUAAUCUUUUUUUAAAAAAGGUUAUUUUACAGCAUUAAUUUUAUCUCUCUAAUUGAACAAUUUUGUAUUUGCAAGUUAAAGGUCUUUGGUAUGAUUUUCACUUGCUGUAUUUAUUGUUUGCUUGAAGAGUAAUAUAAUUUAUGGAAUUGUCAAAAAUACUUACUGUAUACAAACAAAGAAACACUGUAAGUAUUCUGUAAAGAAAAGAUAGGCUCUCUGCAUGUUCAAAAUGAAAUAUCCAACUAGUUUCAAGUUCUUUGUUCUUGUUUGGUUCCCAUGUUAUUUUUUCAUUUUUGUUAUUUCUUCUUUAAUAGGAUAAAUAUUUGGGCUUCUUUAAUGCCCUUAGCUUGGAAAGGCAAUAGGUGCGUUG
rnacentral:lncRNA from 1 species